GAUGAACGCUGGCGGCGUGCCUAAUACAUGCAAGUCGAGCGAACGGACGAGGAGCUUGCUUCUCUGAUGUUAGCGGCGGACGGGUGAGUAACACGUGGAUAACCUACCUAUAAGACUGGGAUAACUUCGGGAAACCGGAGCUAAUACCGGAUGAUAUUUUGAACCGCAUGGUUCAAUAGUGAAAGACGGUUUUGCUGUCACUUAUAGAUGGAUCCGCGCUGCAUUAGCUAGUUGGUAAGGUAACGGCUUACCAAGGCAACGAUGCGUAGCCGACCUGAGAGGGUGAUCGGCCACACUGGAACUGAGACACGGUCCAGACUCCUACGGGAGGCAGCAGUAGGGAAUCUUCCGCAAUGGGCGAAAGCCUGACGGAGCAACGCCGCGUGAGUGAUGAAGGUCUUCGGAUCGUAAAACUCUGUUAUUAGGGAAGAACAUAUGUGUAAGUAACUAUGCACAUCUUGACGGUACCUAAUCAGAAAGCCACGGCUAACUACGUG
rnacentral:rRNA from 1 species